rnacentral:rRNA from 1 species
UACGUAGGGGGCAAGCGUUGUCCGGAAUCAUUGGGCGUAAAGAGCGUGUAGGCGGCCAGAUAAGUCCGCUGUGAAAUCCCGGGGCUCAACCUCGGAACUGCCUUUGAUACUGCAAAUCUCGAGUCCGGAAGAGGUGAGUGGAAUUCCUAGUGUAGAGGUGAAAUUCGUAGAUAUUAGGAAGAACACCAGUGGCGAAGGCGGACUCACUGGUCCGGUACUGACGCUGAGGUGCGAAAGCGUGGGGAGCAAACAGGGAUUAAGAAACCCCAGUAACGUC